CCAUAGCUUGUUAUAUAAUUACGAUAAAAUUAGGUCACUCUCACAGAAAUGUGCUUUUAUGAUAUGCAUGUUUGUUUGUAUACUCAUUCAUAAUGUCUUACUGUAUGGAUAAGCUUCUGCCUCAAUAAAAAAACAAAGAUUGAUAACAACAAAAAAUUGUCUGUAUUAUGAAUACUAGUAUUGACACAAUAGUAUAUUGUGUUGUGUCUUAAUGGGCGAUUAAUUAAUUAAUAGGGUGAUGUGAACUCAUCAUUAUGUUGUUAUCCACUAACAAGUGAGUAAUACAGAGUCAGCAACAGAUGGACUUUCUAAGCAGUAAUGUUAAAGGGACACUCUGCGUCCAAACAACUUUAUCAAUCACUGGAAUUGUUUGCAAAUAGUUUUUUAACAAUGUAAUACAAGAGAGCACCCAAGGACACAAGCCCCCCCAUAACAACGUAUUUUUAGACAGGGCCGGACUAGAAAGAAAAUUCGGCCCGGGCAUUUCUUAUUACAGCGGCCCAGUGAGAAGGGGGCGGGGCCAGAUAGGGUCUGUUUUGUCAUCACCAAUGACAAGUACAGCCCAUCACAAAGUGAGCAUGUUGGUUCAAUGCUCUUCCAGGGCAGACCAUGCACAGAGCUCUGCUGAUGAGAAAAAGGCCUGUAUUUGUUCUGCACAGCGCAAGCAAAUUUAAUAACAUGCUUGCACUGUGUUUGCUUGAAAUUUGGCUCUGGUGUCUCCAUAUACCAGGAGACAAAAAUGCUGGGAAAGAGUAUUGUGCAGUGUGUGUGUGUGUGUGUGAGGGUUGUAGUGUGUGCAAGAGGAGUGCAAUGUGUGUGUGUGAGGGGUGUAGUGUGUGCAAGAGGCGUAUGAGGGUGCUGUGUGGGUAAGGUUGCUGUGUGUGUGAGGGGUGCAGUGUGUGUGAAAGAGGGUGCUGUUUCAGGGGUGCAGUGUGUGUUAGGGUAAGGGUGUGCAGUGUGUGUGAAAGAGGGUGCUGUUUCAGGGGUGCAGUGUGUGUUAGGGUAAGGGUGUGCAGUGUGUGUGUGAGGGUGCUGUGUGUGAGGGGUAUAGUGUGUGUGCAGGAGGGGUGCAGUGUGUGUGUGAGGGUGCUGUGUGGGUAAGGGUGCUAUGUGCGUGUGUGAGAGUGAGGGUUCUGAGUGUCAGGGGUGCAGUGUGUGUGUGUGUGUUUGUGAGGGUGCUGUGAGUGCCAGGGGUGCAGUGUGUGUGUGUGUGUGUGUGUGUGUGUGUGUGUAAGUGAGGGUGCUGUGAGUGCCAGUUGUGCAGUGUGUGUGUGUGUGCUGUGAGUGUCAGGAGUGCAGUGUGUGUGAGUGAGGAUGCUGUGAGUGUCAGGGGUGCAGUGUGUGUGUGUGUGAGUGAGGGUGCUCGUGUGUGAAUAUGUUUGGAGGGCUUGUGUGUUGGGGGGGCAGAAUAUUUUCUAUAUAUUCAUUUUAAAAAAGUAAAGAAGCAUUGAUUAUAUCCCCCCUCCCUUCUUACCUUUAGCCUGGGAGGAGGGACCGUGCCAUUCCUGGUGGUGCUAGUAGUGAGUGAACUCUAGCCUGUGGGGCUAGAGUUCACUAUCGCGAGACCCGGAGAGUUCUCGCGAGAGGAACCAGGCAGAACUGCAAAAUAGAGCACCUCCGGGUUCCUCUCUUGUCUCCCUCCGUCUCUCCCCUGCCGGCUGCCUCAAUACACUACAUGUGGGCUGGUGAGGGAGAUAUUCCAUCUCCCCACCGGCCCGUCAUGGUACACAGCGGGGCCGGCGCUCGGAUAGUGCCGGCCCUGCAUAGACUGGCAGGGAAGAUCCUGUGAUCUCACCUGCCGGCCCCGGGCCAUGGCCACCUUCAGCAACAUGG